UUAAGCGACUAAGCGUACACGGUGGAUGCCCUGGCAGUCAGAGGCGAUGAAGGACGUGCUAAUCUGCGAUAAGCGUCGGUAAGGUGAUAUGAACCGUUAUAACCGGCGAUUUCCGAAUGGGGAAACCCAGUGUGUUUCGACACACUAUCAUUAACUGAAUCCAUAGGUUAAUGAGGCGAACCGGGGGAACUGAAACAUCUAAGUACCCCGAGGAAAAGAAAUCAACCGAGAUUCCCCCAGUAGCGGCGAGCGAACGGGGAGCAGCCCAGAGCCUGAAUCAGUGUGUGUGUUAGUGGAAGCGUCUGGAAAGGCGCGCGAUACAGGGUGACAGCCCCGUACACAAAAAUGCACAUGCUGUGAGCUCGAUGAGUAGGGCGGGACACGUGGUAUCCUGUCUGAAUAUGGGGGGACCAUCCUCCAAGGCUAAAUACUCCUGACUGACCGAUAGUGAACCAGUACCGUGAGGGAAAGGCGAAAAGAACCCCGGCGAGGGGAGUGAAAAAGAACCUGAAACCGUGUACGUACAAGCAGUGGGAGCACGCUUAGGCGUGUGACUGCGUACCUUUUGUAUAAUGGGUCAGCGACUUAUAUUCUGUAGCAAGGUUAACCGAAUAGGGGAGCCGAAGGGAAACCGAGUCUUAACUGGGCGUUAAGUUGCAGGGUAUAGACCCGAAACCCGGUGAUCUAGCCAUGGGCAGGUUGAAGGUUGGGUAACACUAACUGGAGGACCGAACCGACUAAUGUUGAAAAAUUAGCGGAUGACUUGUGGCUGGGGGGGAAAGGCCAAUCAAACCGGGAGAUAGCUGGUUCUCCCCGAAAGCUAUUUAGGUAGCGCCUCGUGAAUUCAUCUCCGGGGGUAGAGCACUGUUUCGGCAAGGGGGUCAUCCCGACUUACCAACCCGAUGCAAACUGCGAAUACCGGAGAAUGUUAUCACGGGAGACACACGGCGGGUGCUAACGUCCGUCGUGAAGAGGGAAACAACCCAGACCGCCAGCUAAGGUCCCAAAGUCAUGGUUAAGUGGGAAACGAUGUGGGAAGGCCCAGACAGCCAGGAUGUUGGCUUAGAAGCAGCCAUCAUUUAAAGAAAGCGUAAUAGCUCACUGGUCGAGUCGGCCUGCGCGGAAGAUGUAACGGGGCUAAACCAUGCACCGAAGCUGCGGCAGCGACGCUGAUGCGUUGUUGGGUAGGGGAGCGUUCUGUAAGCCUGCGAAGGUGUGCUGUGAGGCAUGCUGGAGGUAUCAGAAGUGCGAAUGCUGACAUAAGUAACGAUAAAGCGGGUGAAAAGCCCGCUCGCCGGAAGACCAAGGGUUCCUGUCCAACGUUAAUCGGGGCAGGGUGAGUCGACCCCUAAGGCGAGGCCGAAAGGCGUAGUCGAUGGGAAACAGGUUAAUAUUCCUGUACUUGGUGUUACUGCGAAGGGGGGACGGAGAAGGCUAUGUUGGCCGGGCGACGGUUGUCCCGGUUUAAGCGUGUAGGCUGGUUUUCCAGGCAAAUCCGGAAAAUCAAGGCUGAGGCGUGAUGACGAGGCACUACGGUGCUGAAGCAACAAAUGCCCUGCUUCCAGGAAAAGCCUCUAAGCAUCAGGUAACAUCAAAUCGUACCCCAAACCGACACAGGUGGUCAGGUAGAGAAUACCAAGGCGCUUGAGAGAACUCGGGUGAAGGAACUAGGCAAAAUGGUGCCGUAACUUCGGGAGAAGGCACGCUGAUAUGUAGGUGAAGUCCCUUGCGGAUGGAGCUGAAAUCAGUCGAAGAUACCAGCUGGCUGCAACUGUUUAUUAAAAACACAGCACUGUGCAAACACGAAAGUGGACGUAUACGGUGUGACGCCUGCCCGGUGCCGGAAGGUUAAUUGAUGGGGUCAGCGCAAGCGAAGCUCUUGAUCGAAGCCCCGGUAAACGGCGGCCGUAACUAUAACGGUCCUAAGGUAGCGAAAUUCCUUGUCGGGUAAGUUCCGACCUGCACGAAUGGCGUAAUGAUGGCCAGGCUGUC
rnacentral:rRNA from 1 species